UACAGGGGGUGCAAACGUUGCUCGGAAUCAUUGGGCGUAAAGCGCACGUAGGCGGUUCGUUAUGUCGGAUGUGAAAGCCCUUGGCUUAACCGAGGAAGUGCAUCCGAAACUGGCGAGCUAGAGUACGAAAGAGGAUCGCGGAAUUCCCGGUGUAGAGGUGAAAUUCGUAGAUAUCGGGAGGAACACCGGUGGCGAAGGCGGCUCACUGGCCCGUUACCGACGCUCAGGCGCGACAGCGUGGGGAGCAAACAGG
rnacentral:rRNA from 1 species